rnacentral:rRNA from 1 species
CAUGUAGGGCGCAAGCGUUGUCCGGAAUUAUUGGGCGUAAAGAGCUCGUAGGCGGUUUGUCGCGUCUGCCGUGAAAAUCCGGGGCUCAACCCCGGACUUGCGGUGGGUACGGGCAGACUAGAGUGUGGUAGGGGAGACUGGAAUUCCUGGUGUAGCGGUGAAAUGCGCAGAUAUCAGGAGGAACACCGAUGGCGAAGGCAGGUCUCUGGGCCACUACUGACGCUGAGAAGCGAAAGCGUGGGGAGCGAACAGG